ACGUAGGUGGCAAGCGUUGUCCGGAAUUAUUGGGCGUAAAGCGCGCGCAGGCGGGUUUUUAAGUCUGUCUUAAAAGUUCGGGGCUUAACCCCGUGAGGGGAUGGAAACUGGAAACCUAGAGUAUCGGAGAGGAAAGCGGAAUUCCUAGUGUAGCGGUGAAAUGCGUAGAUAUUAGGAAGAACACCAGUGGCGAAGGCGGCUUUCUGGACGAAAACUGACGCUGAGGCGCGAAAGCCAGGGGAGCAAACGGGAUUAGAUACCCCGGUAGUCCUGGCCGUAAACGAUGGGUACUAGGUGUAGGAGGUAUCGACCCCUUCUGUGCCGGAGUUAACGCAAUAAGUACCCCGCCUGGGGAGUACGAUCGCAAGGUUG
rnacentral:rRNA from 1 species